AUACAUAAAAAUUUACCCAAAGUCAGAAAGAAAGUGAAAACUUAAUAUUCGUUGUUCAUUCUUUUAGAAUAUUUUAUAGUUGGUGAAUGAUGAAAGUAUUAGAAGCAAGAUUUAAAAAUUACAUAAAUUAUAUAUUAUUAAAAAUAAAAAUAGUGAUAUAAAUUGAUUAUAAAAAUAAUAAAAAACUAAAAAUAAAAAUAUUGAAGAAUAAAUCUCAUAUAAUAUAAUUUUUUUCUGUUUAACUUUUGAACUAUUACAAAAAUUAUUAAUACACGUGUAUAUUUUAACAUAAAAACUUAUUAUAUUGAAGAUUUUAUAAUCUAAAAACAUCAUUAAUAAUUAAUCUUCAUUAUUACAUAAUAAUAUUUUAAUUAUGCAAUCUUUCAUAUUUACAAGAAUUUUAAAUAAAUAUUUUAUCAAAUAAUUUUUAUUUCAUGUAAUUAUUAUUUGAUCUUAAUGUAAUUAAGUUUAAUAUAUAUUAAGGUUAAUAUAUAAAUUUUAUAAUAAUUAAUUGAAUAAUAGCAAGAAAGAAUUAAAUUUCUAAAUAAAAAAAUAUAUUUUGGAAAGGAACAAAUUGAAAUAUGGUGAAAAGAAUAUAAUCCAUGAUAACAUGAUCUUUUUUAACAAAAAAAUUGUACACAUAUAAUAAAGUUUUUAAAAUAUA